rnacentral:rRNA from 1 species
UACGGAGGGUGCAAGCGUUAUCCGGAUUUACUGGGUUUAAAGGGUGUGUAGGCGGGCUUUUAAGUCAGUGGUGAAAUCUCCGGGCUCAACCCGGAAACUGCCAUUGAUACUAUUAGUCUUGAAUACUGUUGAGGUGGGCGGAAUAUGUCAUGUAGCGGUGAAAUGCAUAGAUAUGACAUAGAGCACCAAUUGCGAAGGCAGCUCACUAAGCAGUCAUUGACGCUGAGGCACGAAAGCGUGGGGAUCAAACAGG